UGAAAAUAUCAUGGCAUCUGACUAUCUGACGUAUCUUUAACAAGAGAACACUGUCUGCAAGAAUGUGUCUCUGGAUAUGAAGCCUUAACGAUUGACUUCAAGAAACUACUGUAUAUGAUUUUGGAACUAAUGACUGUUUGGAAUCUCAAGACAGCAAACAGUAAUUAUGGAAUCUGCAGCGAUGUCUCCUCCCCAGAGCAGAAUGUAGAGUCAUCAUUUAUGCAGUUUUGGACACUGAAGCACCUGCAAACCAGUCACCUGCUAUCAGACCUUUAACAACAACUGUGCAACAGGGAGAUGAAGCUUUUACAUAUAACAGAAUACACACAAGGGGUACCAUUUGCAUAACAAAAGAGCUAAUUGUGAGAAACAGCCCAAUGGGGAAGCCUCCACAUGCAUGUCUCAUCAGUGCUCUUAGUCCUAUUCCAAUAUGAGUGUUACAGUCAAAGAUGUUUUAAAAGCAGAAACAUGUAGGCCUCUCUUUGUUUUAUUGAUAGUUUAUUAACAAAUCUAUAUUAAGCAUCUGUUUACUGGUGAUUUACUUUGAUUUCCCUAUUUUAUUAGCUUUAGCUCAACAUGCUUUUUGAUGCAGAUGUGACAUGUGGUCUUGCCAUUGUAAAGCGACCUGAUGCUGCUUAUGGGGAUACCCCUAAUAAUAAACAAAGGCUGAGAUUCCAUUUGUUUUACAUCACGGUUUUGCUAUUGUAAGGGUUUUUCGAAUUAUCCAACAUUGCGCGGAGGCCCUGCGUACCCACACCUAGCUGACCACUGGCGCAUGGAUCCCAAUGUGAAUCUAUUGGCAGGGAAAUCAGUAUACCACACACACGUCAAGUUUACAAGACUUUAUUUAGCACACAAAACAAUAUCCAAUAUCAUGAACACCCAUAACCAAUAUACCAUUCCCCGGGCUGAACAGCACCCCCCACAUUGCAAUUCACACA